rnacentral:rRNA from 1 species
AUUGAACGCUGGCGGCAGGCCUAACACAUGCAAGUCGAGCGGAUGAAGGGAGCUUGCUCCUGGAUUCAGCGGCGGACGGGUGAGUAAUGCCUAGGAAUCUGCCUGGUAGUGGGGGAUAACGUCCGGAAACGGGCGCUAAUACCGCAUACGUCCUGAGGGAGAAAGUGGGGGAUCUUCGGACCUCACGCUAUCAGAUGAGCCUAGGUCGGAUUAGCUAGUUGGUGGGGUAAAGGCCUACCAAGGCGACGAUCCGUAACUGGUCUGAGAGGAUGAUCAGUCACACUGGAACUGAGACACGGUCCAGACUCCUACGGGAGGCAGCAGUGGGGAAUAUUGGACAAUGGGCGAAAGCCUGAUCCAGCCAUGCCGCGUGUGUGAAGAAGGUCUUCGGAUUGUAAAGCACUUUAAGUUAGGAGGAAGGGCGGUAAGUUAAUACCUUGCUGUUUUGACGUUACCAACAGAAUAAGCACCGGCUAACUUCGUG